GGAUUGAUCCUGUCUAGAGAAGUAAAUGAAAUUACAUAGUUGGCAUCAUGAGUAAAAGGCUUUCAUUCACAAAAGAUAUAAUCAACCUUGCCUCAAAUAUAAAUUACAUUGAUAUGUUAAACCAACUGAUUAAUAUCCAGAAAUACAAGCCAGAAUCUAGCAAGGGAAUGUAUGUAACAGGCCUAAAACCCACUUUAGUACUCCCACUUCCUCUAAUGAACAGAAAAUAACAUCAUUAACAAAUAAUUUUCUGUUCAUUCCUCUCAGAGGAAUCAAAACCAAUCAAGAAUCAUUGUUCUUGCAAGAAUCAUUGUUCUUACAAGAAUCAAACAUGGCAAAAAUCCCACAAUCUCAAUACUAAUUCAAGAAGUAAAAGAAAAGGUUAAAUUAGCAACAAAUAGGGCAACGUAUCAGCCCAUUUUCAUUACACUCACCACAUCUUACCAUUUUCUUCUGCUCCUGAUUCAAGAUCUUGCAGCUUCCCUUACACUCCAUACACAUCACAAACCUUAAACCUGCACACACUUGGCACACUCCAGCAAGCCCUCUUGGAAUCCCAUCAAACAAAAUCCCCAACUUGCCUUCUUCCUCCAACUUCACCACUUGAUCAGCACCUCCAAUCAACCUCCCUUUAACAAACACUAGUGGAACUUUCACUUCCUUUGUACCCAUUAGCCCUCUUAUCUCCUCCUUGAAGCCUGAAUCCAUUGAAAUAUCUCUCUCUAUCAUAUGAAUAUGGUAGGAAUCAAUAAUCGACCUUACAGUAUUACAAUCCUCGAAGGUUUUUCUGAUUCCUCGCAAUGUAGUAGUGUAGAUCACAACCGCAUUAUCCCCACCUGGAGGGCAUUUUUGUUCAAAAGAAUGGAGAAUAGACUCCAAUUCUCGUGCAUUCUUUGAUUUUUGAGGCCUGGGUGUUAGAGAAAUGGUAAUGGUUUUCUUGAUUUGGCCUUCGUCUUUAGACAACUCUCUUUCGUAUGAUGCGACAAGCUCUGGAUCAAAUAAAGGACUAGAACUACUCUUCCUCGAAGAAGAAAAAGAAGAAAGCGCAGGAUCAUCCCAACCAGCAUUCUCUGUUUUAGUCCUGACUGGAGAACUUUUCACUGGAUAACUCAAUCUUAGCACUGCCUUGCUUGCUUUGCCUAAAGAAUUGUUGGCUUUCAAAACUGGCCUCGGGCUAAACUCUGACAUUUUCUUUAACUUAUUUUCUUUCCCACCAAAUGUCUUGGCUUUCCUUGGAGAUCCAAUCUGAUUCAAGAACUUCAAAGGGCUCCUAGCAUCCACAUCUGCAAACCCACGAAGCAAAGCUCUCGAUUUGGGGCUUUUUCUGGAAUGAUUCGAAACGGGUAAUCCUCCAUCUUCAAGAUCCUCCAUGAGCUCCCAAGCAUUAAUAACUUCUGGUUCUUCUCGAGUAGGUGAUCUCUGCUGCAUUUUCUUACUCUCCGCCACUAUCUCCUUGAUGAGAUCUUCUUUUUGUCCUUGUUCUUGUUCUUGAUCUUCUUGUCUUUUUUCAUUGAUGUCAAGCUUGAGAGCACCGUAGGUUGUAGAAGUGAGAGAGACAACAUGGUUAACAGAGUCUCUGCCGCCAUUGUUGAGGAUGAUGUCUUGAUGGAGUUGUUUCCGGAAGAGUUUGGAAGAAACACAGCCCAUUGAUUGACUGAUUUGGUGGGGUUUGCUCUGUUUCUUUCCCCUGGUAGUUUUCAGGUGGUCUUGCAGUUUUCAACAGAGACGUGGAGGUGGGCGAGUGGGGACGAGGGAGUUAGAG
rnacentral:misc_RNA from 1 species